UACGUAGGGGGCAAGCGUUGUCCGGAUUUAUUGGGCGUAAAGAGCGUGUAGGCGGCCUUACAGGUCAGCUGUGAAAACUCGAGGCUCAACCUCGAGACGUCGGUUGAAACCGUAUGGCUAGAGUACGAAAGAGGGUCGCGGAAUUCCCGGUGUAGAGGUGAAAUUCGUAGAUAUCGGGAGGAACACCGGUGGCGAAGGCGGCGACCUGGGUCGAGACUGACGCUGAGGCGCGAAAGCGUGGGGAGCAAACAGG
rnacentral:rRNA from 1 species